rnacentral:rRNA from 1 species
UACGUAGGGACCGAGCGUUGUCCGGAAUCAUUGGGCGUAAAGAGCUCGUAGGCGGCUUGUCGCGUUGUUCGUGAAAAUUUACCGCUCAACGGUGAACUUGCGGGCGAUACGGGCAGGCUAGAGUACUGCAGGGGAGACUGGAAUUCCUGGUGUAGCGGUGAAAUGCGCAGAUAUCAGGAGGAACACCGGUGGCGAAGGCGGGUCUCUGGGCAGUAACUGACGCUGAGGAGCGAAAGCGUGGGGAGCGAACAGG